rnacentral:tRNA from 3 species
GCCCUAGUAGCUCAGUACAGAGCGCCGGCCUUGUAAGCCGGAGGCCGGGGGCUAAAUUCCUCCCUAGUGCU